AACGCUAGCUACAGGCUUAACACAUGCAAGUCGAGGGGCAUCAGGAAGAAAGCUUGCUUUCUUUGCCGGCGACCGGCGCACGGGUGAGUAACACGUAUCCAACCUGCCCUUUACUCGGGGAUAGCCUUUCGAAAGAAAGAUUAAUACCCGAUAGUAUAAUGAUUCCGCAUGGUUUCAUUAUUAAAGGAUUCCGGUAAAGGAUGGGGAUGCGUUCCAUUAGGUUGUUGGUGAGGUAACGGCUCACCAAGCCUUCGAUGGAUAGGGGUUCUGAGAGGAAGGUCCCCCACAUUGGAACUGAGACACGGUCCAAACUCCUACGGGAGGCAGCAGUGAGGAAUAUUGGUCAAUGGGCGCUAGCCUGAACCAGCCAAGUAGCGUGAAGGAUGAAGGCUCUAUGGGUCGUAAACUUCUUUUAUAUAAGAAUAAAGUGCAGUAUGUAUACUGUUUUGUAUGUAUUAUAUGAAUAAGGAUCGGCUAACUCCGUGCCAGCAGCCGCGGUAAUACGGAGGAUCCGAGCGUUAUCCGGAUUUAUUGGGUUUAAAGGGAGCGUAGGUGGACUGGUAAGUCAGUUGUGAAAGUUUGCGGCUCAACCGUAAAAUUGCAGUUGAUACUGUCAGUCUUGAGUACAGUAGAGGUGGGCGGAAUUCGUGGUGUAGCGGUGAAAUGCUUAGAUAUCACGAAGAACUCCGAUUGCGAAGGCAGCUCACUGGACUGCAACUGACACUGAUGCUCGAAAGUGUGGGUAUCAAACAGGAUUAGAUACCCUGGUAGUCCACACAGUAAACGAUGAAUACUCGCUGUUUGCGAUAUACAGUAAGCGGCCAAGCGAAAGCAUUAAGUAUUCCACCUGGGGAGUACGCCGGCAACGGUGAAACUCAAAGGAAUUGACGGGGGCCCGCACAAGCGGAGGAACAUGUGGUUUAAUUCGAUGAUACGCGAGGAACCUUACCCGGGCUUAAAUUGCAGUGGAAUGAUGUGGAAACAUGUCAGUGAGCAAUCACCGCUGUGAAGGUGCUGCAUGGUUGUCGUCAGCUCGUGCCGUGAGGUGUCGGCUUAAGUGCCAUAACGAGCGCAACCCUUAUCUUCAGUUACUAACAGGUCAUGCUGAGGACUCUGGAGAGACUGCCGUCGUAAGAUGUGAGGAAGGUGGGGAUGACGUCAAAUCAGCACGGCCCUUACGUCCGGGGCUACACACGUGUUACAAUGGGGGGUACAGAAGGCAGCUAGCGGGUGACCGUAUGCUAAUCCCAAAAUCCUCUCUCAGUUCGGAUCGAAGUCUGCAACCCGACUUCGUGAAGCUGGAUUCGCUAGUAAUCGCGCAUCAGCCACGGCGCGGUGAAUACGUUCCCGGGCCUUGUACACACCGCCCGUCAAGCCAUGGGAGCCGGGGGUACCUGAAGUACGUAACCGCAAGGAUCGUCCUAGGGUAAAACUGGUGACUGG
rnacentral:rRNA from 1 species